UAACUCCUGCGGGAGGCAGCAGUGGGGAAUAUUGCACAAUGGGCGCAAGCCUGAUGCAGCCAUGCCGCGUGUAUGAAGAAGGCCUUCGGGUUGUAAAGUACUUUCAGCGGGGAGGAAGGCGAUAAGGUUAAUAACCUUGUUGAUUGACGUUACCCGCAGAAGAAGCACCGGCUAACUCCGUGCCAGCAGCCGCGGUAAUACGGAGGGUGCAAGCGUUAAUCGGAAUUACUGGGCGUAAAGCGCACGCAGGCGGUCUGUCAAGUCGGAUGUGAAAUCCCCGGGCUCAACCUGGGAACUGCAUUCGAAACUGGCAGGCUAGAGUCUUGUAGAGGGGGGUAGAAUUCCAGGGGUAGCGGUGAAAUGCGUAGAGAUCUGGAGGAAUACCGGUGGCGAAGGCGGCCCCCUGGACAAAGACUGACGCUCAGGUGCGAAAGCGUGGGGAGCAAACAGGAUUAGAAACCCUAGUAGUCCCA
rnacentral:rRNA from 1 species